GACGAACGCUGGCGGCGUGCUUAACACAUGCAAGUCGAACGGAAAGGCCCUGCUUUUGUGGGGUGCUCGAGUUGCGAACGGGUGAGUAACACGUGAGUAACCUGCCCUUGACUUUGGGAUAACUUCAGGAAACUGGGUCUAAUACCGGAUAGGAGCUCCUGCUGCAUGGUGGGGGUUGGAAAGUUUCGGCGGUUGGGGAUGGACUCGCGGCUUAUCAGCUUGUUGGUGGGGUAGUGGCUUACCAAGGCUUUGACGGGUAGCCGGCCUGAGAGGGUGACCGGACAAAUUGGGACUGAGAUACGGCCCAGACUCCUACGGGAGGCAGCAGUGGGGAAUAGUGCACAAUGGGCGGAAGCCUGAUGCAGCAACGCAGCGUGCGGGAUGACGGCCUUCGGGUUGUAAACCGAUUUCGCCUGUGACGAAGCGUGAGUGACGGUAAUGGGUAAAGAAGCACCGGCUAACUACGUG
rnacentral:rRNA from 1 species